GGGAAGCCCAUCAUAUAGUGGAGUAGCAACGCCAUUUCCUCCUCCCCCACCUCCACCACCACCGCCGCCACUGCCGCCGCCACCUCCUGUUAUCUAUCCACCUUUCGGGUAUCCACCCUACACUCCUGACUAUGGGUACCAACAGGCUAUCUAUAACACACCAGUUCAACAGCCUCAAUACUAUCAUCAUCAAGUGUACGGAACAUCAUCAUCCGCCAUGGGCUCACCAUACUACUAUCAU
rnacentral:misc_RNA from 1 species